CUCAAUGAUCUAUGCUGGCUCUGGAGGCCUCUUCAAAGCUGAAAUCCACCAUGUAAUGACCGUGGCAUGAACCACAACCGGAAAGAGCAGCAUCUGUGAAUGGUGGAAGACGUGCCUGUUUUCCGCUCUAGGCUCCCUGGAAAAAGGAGCAGAACUCCACUGAGAGACUCCAACGCAUCUAAGCAUUCUCAGCUUCAACCAAACCAGCCACGUCCACGUCCCAAGCCUGGAGUCAGUGCUGGAGGACUGCUUUAGAGGGAGUGUCAACCGAUGUGACUUUGAUGGAACUCUGAAAGAUUGAUGGCAAGCGACGAUAUAUAGGAGGAAGCAGUGUCGUUGCCCAGAAUCCAGUGAGAGCUGGAGCUGCGGAGGAACAGAGGAUGGAAGGAGGAGUAGCCAUGGAGGCACACAGCCACCGGCAGAAGCUAGAAGUCAAAGCAGGGAGAAAGUGACAGAGAAAACUGUGAUCUCUCUGAUCCUCCUGCCAGCGACUCCAUUAGGUGAACUCAAUAAAGCCAGCUGACUUGGAUCGCCUGAACUUAGAGACUGUGUCUGAUUCACCUCCAAUGCAUGGCACAAUGCAUGACACAAUGGGUGUUCAAUAUCUAUUGAAUAAAUGAAGUAACCUUUAUUCUUCCUAUAUUAGCCCAUGUGAGCCUGCAGAUGUGCCCAAGGGAAGCAUUCCAUAAACAAAUGAUUUGCAUAAAAUCAUCUGUGCCUCUUCAAACUCGUGCAGAUAUUCAGUUUGGGCUCUAUUCAAAUUUUAAGCUCAAGUUCCUGCCAAUUUUAUGUUAUCAAACAGGCUUGCUCAUCUUAGUUAGAAGCCUCAUAAAAUUAUCAUCACUUAGAGAUUGCUCACCCUCCCAGGGAGCUACUGAAACUUUAUCCCAAAUCAAAGAUACAUAAAUUGGUUCCAUUUUGCAUUUGGAAUUCUGAGUAAGCAAGGCGAUUCCAGUCUUAUCAUAUCUCAGUAGUUGGCAGUAGAAGAAGCCACAACACUCAUCCAGUCACUGACCUGGCUCCUCAACAUGGCAGACAUUCCUGCAGAAUAAGAAACCCUCCACAGAACUCAGCUUCCUGGGAUCCAGGCAACAACAGAUGCUUUGCAUUUGAGUUACUCCCGUAUGCUGCCUCCUGAAUUAUCAUAUCUAUUCAUUUUCUGCCACACAUUAAAAUUCUGACUUGUACUGAAAACCAUGCUGAUCUGCACAAAACUGUCUAUUUUGUUGCCUUUCACUGAAGGGAUAAUGAUUCUAUACCUAACAGGCAAACUGUCUCAGAGCAUCUUACUUCUCUGCAUUUUUGCCACAGUCACUUCCACUCUUCUCAUUCCCAACGAGAGAGGAAUAAGAUCAUUAGUAGUUUAGUGUUCCACUGGGACCUGAGAAGUAAUAAUAAUAAUAAUAAUAAUAAUA
rnacentral:lncRNA from 1 species